rnacentral:rRNA from 1 species
UACGUAGGGGGCAAGCGUUGUCCGGAUUUACUGGGUGUAAAGGGUGCGUAGGCGGCUUUGCAAGUCAGAAGUGAAAUCCAUGGGCUUAACCCAUGAACUGCUUUUGAAACUGCAGAGCUUGAGUGGAGUAGAGGUAGGCGGAAUUCCCGGUGUAGCGGUGAAAUGCGUAGAGAUCGGGAGGAACACCAGUGGCGAAGGCGGCCUGCUGGGCUCUAACUGACGCUGAGGCACGAAAGCGUGGGUAGCAAACAGG